rnacentral:tRNA from 1 species
GCCGCUUUAGUUCAGAGGUAGAACAGAGGUAUCGUAAACCUCCAACGGCCGUUCGAUUCGACCAAGCGGCA